AUACGGGAGGCAGCAGUGGGGAAUAUUGGACAAUGGGGGAAACCCUGAUCCAGCGAUGCCGCGUGGGUGAAGAAGGCCUUCGGGUUGUAAAGCCCUUUAGGUCGGGAAGAAGGUUAUGCGGGGAUAAUCCGCAUAGUUUGACUGUACCGACAGAAUAAGCACCGGCAAACUCUGUGCCAGCAGCCGCGGUAAUACAGAGGGUGCGAGCGUUAAUCGGAAUUACUGGGCGUAAAGGGCGCGUAGGCGGUUAUAUGGGUGUGAUGUGAAAGCCCCGGGCUUAACCCGGGAAGUGCAUCGCAAACUAUAUAACUGGAGUACAAGAGAGGGUGGCGGAAUUUCCGGUGUAGCGGUGAAAUGCGUAGAGAUCGGAAGGAACGUCGAUGGCGAAGGCAGCCACCUGGCUUGAUACUGACGCUGAGGCGCGAAAGCGUGGGGAGCGAACAGGAUUAGAUACCCUGGUAGUCGC
rnacentral:rRNA from 1 species